rnacentral:rRNA from 1 species
AUUGAACGCUAGCGGGAUGCUUUACACAUGCAAGUCGAACGAGUGGCGGACGGGUGAGUAAUAUAUCGGAACGUGCCCCGUAGCGGGGGAUAACUACUCGGAAACGUGGCUAAUACCGCAUACUCUUGGAGCGGCCUAUAUCGGAUUAGCUAGUUGGUGGGGUAAAGGCUCACCAGGGCAACGAUCCGUAGCUGGUUUGAGAGGACGACCAGCCAAACUGGGACUGAGACACGGCCCAGACUCCUACGGGAGGCAGCAGUGGGGAAUUUUGGACAAGGGGGGAAACCCUGAUGCAGCAAUCCCGCGUGUAUGAGAAGGCCUUCGGGUUGUAAAGUACUUUUGGCAGAGAAGCGGUAUCUGCAGAAUAAGCAACGGCUAACUACGUGCCAGCAGCCGCGGUAAUUC